UAUGACCAUAUUAUGCUGAAACACUGGUUCUCGUACGAUCACCGAAGUUAAGCAACGUCGACCCUGGUCAGCACCUCGAUGGGUGACCGCUUGGAAAUGCUAGGUGUUGCAA